GCCUCCCGUUCAGCUGCCGACUUAAGUUGGUCGAGGGCAACCACCUUCUCAGCAUUGACAGUCGCUACCUUAUUCAUCUAUGUCUGAUGGAAGUCGUCGAACUUUACGUAGUCGGCUUCCAAGUCGAACAUGUCAUGGACCAACUGCAAAUCAAAAAUGAAUCGAGUCAAAGAAAAAAGAAAAAAAAGAAAAAGCAGCUUGCAGCUUACCCCG
rnacentral:lncRNA from 1 species